GUUGGGCACUCUAGAGAGACUGCCGGUGUCAAACCGGAGGAAGGUGGGGAUGACGUCAGGUCAGCAUGCCCCUUACGUCUUGGGCUACACACGUACUACAAUGCUACGGACAGAGGGCAGCAAGCCGGCAACGGCAAGCAAAUCCCGUAAACCGUGGCUCAGUUCAGAUCGAAGCUUGCAACUCAGCUUCGUGAAGGAGGAAUCGCUAGUAAUUGCAGGUCAGCAUACUGCAGUGAAUUCGUUCCCGGGCCUUGUACACACCGCCCGUCACACCAUGGAAGCUGGCAACGCCCGAAGUCAUUACUCUAACCAUUCGUGGGGGAGGAUGCCUAAGGCAGUGCUGGUGACUGGGGUGAAGUCGUAACAAGGUAGCCGUACCGGAAGGUGUGGCUGGAUCACCUCCUUU
rnacentral:ncRNA from 1 species